UACAGAGGUCUCAAGCGUUGUUCGGAUUCAUUGGGCGUAAAGGGUGUGUAGGUGGCGCGCUAAGUCGGGUGUGAAAUUUCGGAGCUUAACUCCGAAACUGCAUUCGAUACUGGCGUGCUUGAGGACUGGAGAGGAGACUGGAAUUCAUGGUGUAGCGGUGGAAUGCGCAGAUAUCAGGAGGAACACCGGUGGCGAAGGCGGGAUCCUGGGCCACUACUGACGCUGAGAAGCGAAAGCAUGGGGAGCGAACAGG
rnacentral:rRNA from 1 species